UAGGCUGCAACUCGCCUACAUGAAGUUGGAAUCGCUAGUAAUCGCGAAUCAGAAUGUCGCGGUGAAUACGUUCCCGGGUCUUGUACACACCGCCCGUCACACCACGAGAGUUUACAACACCCGAAGUCAGUGGCCUAACCGCAAGGAGGGAGCUGCCUAAGGUGGGGUAGAUGAUUGGGGUGAAGUCGUAACAAGGUACC
rnacentral:rRNA from 1 species